rnacentral:rRNA from 1 species
CCUACGGGUGGCAGCAGUGAGGAAUAUUGGUCAAUGGGCGCGAGCCUGAACCAGCCAAGUAGCGUGAAGGAUGACUGCCCUACGGGUUGUACACUUCUUUUGUAAAGGAAUAAAGUUAGGCACGUGUGCCUUUUUGUAUGUACUUUAUGAAUAAGGAUCGGCUAACUCCGUGCCAGCAGCCGCUGUAAUACGGAGGAUCCGAGCGUUAUCCGGAUUUAUUGGGUUUAAAGGGUGCGUAGAUGGAGUGUUAAGUCAGUUGUGAAAGUUUGCGGCUCAACCGUAAAAUUGCAAUUGAUACUGGCAGUCUGGAGUAUAGUUGAGGUAGGCGGAAUGCGUGGUGUAGCGGUGAAAUGCUUAGAUAUCAAGAAGAACUCCGAUUGCGAAGGCAGCUUACCAAACUGCAACUGACAUUGAUGCUCGAAAGUGUGGGUAUCAAACAGGAUUAGAUACCCCUGUAGUC